rnacentral:rRNA from 1 species
UACAGGGGGGGCAAGCGUUGUUCGGAAUUACUGGGCGUAAGGGCUCGUAGGUGGCCAACUAAGUCAGACGUGAAAUCCCUCAGCUUAACUGGGGAACUGCGUCUGAUACUGGAUGGCUUGAGUUUGGGAGAGGGAUGCGGAAUUCCAGGUGUAGCGGUGAAAUGCGUAGAUAUCUGGAGGAACACCGGUGGCGAAGGCGGCAUCCUGGACCAACACUGACACUGAGGAGCGAAAGCCAGGGGAGCAAACGGG